AAACUUCUUUAUUUAUUUCUUACCGUUAUGUAGACCAGUGAAAAUAAUGUACAACGAUUAAUCGCAUAAAUCCCAUGAAGAAUAGAAAACUGAAAGUAGGGCAAACAUAGAUCCCUGGACAUAUCAGAGGUGAGAUCAGAAAUUUUGCAUGUCCAUGUCUUGGAAGGUGAAUAGGUGAAAAGUCAAUAGAUGCUUACCAUAUCAGAUGCUUGCAGAGGAUUCUGGGGAUAAAGUAGCAGAAAAUUAUGGAAAACAGGAAGUGGCAGCCAGGACUGACAUCAAUGCAAUAAACAAUGAGCUGAGGAGACGGUGAUGGAACUAUAUAGGACACGUGCUAUGGAGGGGAGGUGACAAUGACAGUGAGAUGGCGUUGGGUUGGACACCAGAAGGGAAGAGGGCAUUUAAGAGACCGAAAACAACCUGGAGAGGAACAGUAGAAGCAGAAAGAAAGAUUGCAGAAUGGAGAAACUUGAAUGAGAUCAAGAUGGUAGCAAUAGAACAGAGUGGAUUGGAGAGAGUCUCGGUCCUAUGUGUUUUUGGCAUGGAGAGAACUAAGUAAUGUCUAGAUUGUUGGAGAUAGGAUGACCAGGAAUAUGAAUGGAUGUGCUGGAAACUGUACUAAGACCCUUAUGUAUUUGGAUAGAUUUACAUACCAUCAUGAUUUUGCUAUGAAAAACUUGAAAAAAAUCCUCAACUCAUAUUGUAGCUGACAUUGUACAUUUGUACUUAUUAAUAUUUCAAAUGAACAUAUUUUUAGACAUACAAUAUCUAAACUUUGGAGUCCAUGUACAUCUCCACAUUGGAUAAUAGGUUAUGAUGUGUGAAAUCUUUUCCUAUGGUAUGCACAUGUUAACACAUUAGUUUAAAUGAUGAUGUAUAUCUUAUGACUAUGGAAGAGAUUGUGUUCAGAACAGAAUAUGUGUCUAGAAGAGUUGUUGCCCUUGAAUGUAAUUCAUUAUUUACAUGGGGUUGAAAAAUAAUCAAGCACACAGUAGUACUAAAUGCAUUAUGUUAAAAUACAUUUAUGAAGGGUAUAAGUGAUACUGUCCAUUACUGAUUAAUACACUUUGUGAAAUCAUAUUGUUAUGUUUAAUAAAUUUCAAGGCUGCA